UUGCUAUCAGGCGUCGAGCGGCGGACGGGUGAGUAAUACUUAGGAAUCUACCUAGUAGUGGGGGAUAGCUCGGGGAAACUCGAAUUAAUACCGCAUACGACCUACGGGAGAAAGGGGGCAACUUGUUGCUCUCGCUAUUAGAUGAGCCUAAGUCGGAUUAGCUAGAUGGUGGGGUAAAGGCCUACCAUGGCGACGAUCUGUAGCUGGUCUGAGAGGAUGAUCAGCCACACCGGGACUGAGACACGGCCCGGACUCCUACGGGAGGCAGCAGUGGGGAAUAUUGGACAAUGGGGGCAACCCUGAUCCAGCCAUGCCGCGUGUGUGAAGAAGGCCUUUUGGUUGUAAAGCACUUUAAGCAGUGAAGAAGACUCCAUGGUUAAUACCCAUGGACGAUGACAUUAGCUGCAGAAUAAGCACCGGCUAACUCUGUGCCAGCAGCCGCGGUAAUACAGAGGGUGCAAGCGUUAAUCGGAAUUACUGGGCGUAAAGCGAGCGUAGGUGGCUUGAUAAGUCAGAUGUGAAAUCCCCGGGCUUAACCUGGGAACUGCAUCUGAUACUGUUAGGCUAGAAUAGGUGAGAGGAAGGUAGAAUUCCAGGUGUAGCGGUGAAAUGCGUAGAGAUCUGGAGGAAUACCGAUGGCGAAGGCAGCCUUCUGGCAUCAUAUUGACACUGAGGUUCGAAAGCGUGGGUAGCAAACAGGAUUAGAUACCCUGGUAGUCCACGCCGUAAACGAUGUCUACUAGUCGUUGGGUCCCUUGAGGACUUAGUGACGCAGCUAACGCAAUAAGUAGACCGCCUGGGGAGUACGGCCGCAAGGUU
rnacentral:rRNA from 1 species